AGUGAACGCUGGCGGUAGGCCUAACACAUGCAAGUCGAACGGCAGCACAGUAAGAGCUUGCUCUUACGGGUGGCGAGUGGCGGACGGGUGAGGAAUACAUCGGAAUCUACUUUUUCGUGGGGGAUAACGUAGGGAAACUUACGCUAAUACCGCAUACGACCUACGGGUGAAAGCAGGGGAUCUUCGGACCUUGCGCGAUUGAAUGGGCCGAUGUCGGAUUAGCUAGUUGGCGGGGUAAAGGCCCACCAGGGCGACGAUCCGUAGCUGGUCUGAGAGGAUGAUCAGCCACACUGGAACUGAGACACGGUCCAGACUCCUACGGGAGGCAGCAGUGGGGAAUAUUGGACAAUGGGCGCAAGCCUGAUCCAGCCAUACCGCGUGGGUGAAGAAGGCCUUCGGGUUGUAAGGCCCUUUUGUUGGGAAAGAAAAGCAGCAGGUUAAUACCCCGCUGUUCUGACGGUACCCAAAGAAUAAGCACCGGCUAACUUCGUG
rnacentral:rRNA from 1 species